UCAGCUUCUCUCUCUUUCUCUCCCUCUCUCUUUCAAUCUGUGUUUGUGUGUGUAUGUGUGUGUCUUCAUUAGGAAGUAUGAAUGAUAUAAUAUAAAUCACAGUGCUUUAAAAAAAUCAUUUUACAAAUAGUAAAUAUUUUUUUGAAUCCAUUUUCUCUACCAAGCUUUAUGGAGACACAAAAAUGAGAAUUUCAAAAUCUGUGAAUUCAAGGAAAUCCCUCUUAUGAGGCCCAGUAGAUGUGAAUACUUCAAUGAGGGAUCUGAUAUUGGCAGAUAUAAAUUACCCAACAGCCUACUUCAGGAUUGGAAAUGCUGCUUCUGAAAGAAAUGCACUGUGGAAUCAGGAAGAAUGCCCUAUUCAGGACCAUCUGUGUGUCUCUUAAAAUGUGGGUGCCUUGAAAAGCUUUGUCCCUGAGAGCAAACUUGGCUUCCCACAAGCUGCCUAACCUUGGUGAUGUUGUGCGAGAGGUUUUUCCUCAUCCCCUCUGAUGUGGACCUUUGAGAGGCUGACUUACAGAGGAGGCGAGUUUCACCCAGUUGCUGAAAUCUUGGGAAUAAGAAUGUACUGCCCGAUAAAGAAAGCAAAAUCCCAGCUGUCAAAGCAAGAUUUCCAAAUUAAAGUGGACAAGGCCCUUAUUCGUUUUCAUAUAAAUAGGUCAAAAUAAUCACCAACAGGCUGGAAGUGUGCCUACAUGGCCACAGCUGAGAAUUUUUUUCAUCUCUCUUGUCUUCCUUAGUCCUUUCAAAUACGAUGAGGGUCAGAGGCAGAUGAGAUGGAAAAGCUGAAUGUUAUUCUAAGAACCAUCCCAAGUCUUCCAAGCUUGCUUCCACUACAGCGUUACUCAAAAUAGUUUUCAUUUGUA